UACGAAGGUCCCAAGCGUUAUCCGGAUUUAUUGGGUUUAAAGGGUGCGUAGGCGGACUAUUAAGUCAGUGGUGAAAGCCCCAAGCCUAACUUGGGAACUGCCAUUGAUACUGAUGGUCUUGAGUACAUUUGAGGUGGGCGGAAUGUGUCAUGUAGCGGUGAAAUGCUUAGAUAUGACACAGAACACCAAUUGCGAAGGCAGCUCACUAAACUGUAACUGACGCUGAGGCACGAAAGCGUGGGGAGCAAACAGG
rnacentral:rRNA from 1 species